rnacentral:rRNA from 1 species
GAAUGGCUCAUUAUAUCAGUUAUAAUUUACUUGAAGAGCGAUUGCACAUGGAUAGCCGUGACAAAUUCAGGAUAUAAUACAUGCAUUAAGUCCCACCUCUUGGAGUGGAUGUGCUCAAUAGAUCCAAACCUUUCCUGCUUGCAGGAGCGGUGAAUCAUAUGCAUCAUUCGGACCGCAAAUCAUACGUUGGCGGCACUUCAUUCAAGUAACUGCCCUAUCACGUUGUCGGUAGUGUAUUGGACUACCGAGCGGAUGACGGGUAACGGGGAAUUAGAGUUCGAUUCCGGAGAAAGAGCAUGAGACACGGCUAUUACAUCCAAGGAAGGCAGCAGGCGC